rnacentral:lncRNA from 1 species
AUGGAUGCAUUUUUGGUCUGAACACUAAAUGAAGCACGGAGAAUUAAUCUAUAACGAUCAACUAAAAAAAAUCCUAGAUGAAAACAUAACAGAAAAGUUGGAAAAACUCUUUGCUUUGGAUCUAUUUAUACUUUUCGAGUAUAUUGACAAUUCCAAAAAACUGCUCAUACUAUGAUUAUAGUAUAAUCACGAGCGGUUGUAUAUGGCCCUAUCGUCUAGUGAUGCCCCUAUCGUCUAGUGGUUCAUGACAUCUCUCUUUCAAGGAGGCAGCGGGGAUUCGACUUCCCCUGGGGGUAGGGACUAUUAUGAAAGGAGGUUAAUCAUAGAUUAGCAAAAACCCUAGAAUAAAUUCUUCCUGGGUCGAUGCCCGAGUGGUUAAUGGGGACGGACUGUAAAUUCGUUGACAAUGUCUACGCUGGUUCAAAUCCAGCUCGGCCCAAACCAAAAAUCUAGGGCUUCGUGAGUAUGAACUAAAUCCUUUUGUUUUUCUUCCAUAAAAAAAAUGUCUGAUCUAUAGAAAUAAAAGAUAAAGAAAAAAGGGAAUUUUUUUUUUCUAAUCCAUAUCUCUCUCAUUCCUUUCUUACAAACAAAAGAGUUUUUCUUAUUGAAGGCUGGAUUAUUAUCCAUUUUUAGUGAUAAAAAAUCACGACAUACUAGUUAUGUCACUCUCACUAUACCCACGUAUAAUAUAAUAUGUGGGUAUGUAGUAUAUGAUUCGUCUAUUUCUUAGAGUACGAAAGACGAAUCGAAUCUUCUUAUGGUUCUAUUUAAGAAUGGGUAUGCCAUACACCCCGCGGGGAUUGUAGUUCAAUUGGUCAGAGCACCGCCCUGUCAAGGCGGAAGCUGCGGGUUCGAGCCCCGUCAGUCCCGAACUAGGGUUCAAUGAAUGGAGAAAUUGAUAUUUCCUUUUUCCAUGAAAAAAAGGGGCAGGGAGCAAGAUCAAAUACCCACAGGGCACCCUUACUUCACUUUUUUAUUUUGCAUCCCUCAUUAAAGAGGGAGGGAAGGCAUAUAGGAAUUUUUUUUCACUACUCCCGAUCGAUAAAGAUAAAGAAAGACACACAUACGAUAUGUGGAUUAGUAGAAUUUAGGAUAUUAUAUUACUCUAUCUUUCUUUAUGAUGAUACCAUCCUCAUCUUAAUUUCCUAUUCCACUCUUAUGGAAUAGANNNNNNNNNNNNNNNNNNNNNNNNNNNNNNNNNNNNNNNNNNNNNNNNNNNNNNNNNNNNNNNNNNNNNNNNNNNNNNNNNNNNNNNNNNNNNNNNNNNNAUGGGUGGAAGAACUAAAAUAGAGGAUUCUGAAAAAAAAAAGGACCUUCGAAAUCCAAUUUUAUGUGUAGCGCAAAGGAGUUGCGAUUUCUUCUUAUUCCUAUAGAACAUCUAGUAACAAGAAUAUGAAAUCGUAAAUAGCGAAAAAUUCUUGUCUUGCGCGGUCUAAGUCUAAGGAAAUAAAAAAAAUUCGCUUAUACAAUUUCAUCUACAUCGAAUUUAUAUAUCAGAAUAGCGGAUAGAGGCAUCAUUAAAGGAGUCAGGUCUACUUACUUUAUGCUUCUUUCCAAUUUUAUGGUGGAUUUGAUAAGAACCCUUUUUGCUUUCUUGAUAAAUAAUCGACAAAAAAAGCGUUUUUUUUUAUAUAACCUGCUUGUUUUAUUAUAAUUAUAACAAGUCCUAUAUGGAAAUGCCCGCUAAAGAGAAAAUCUAUUUGAUUGUCUCUCGGCCAAUAUCGAUUUUUAGAAAGAAAAAACAAGAAUUUUCUUCUUUUUUUAUUAACAUUAAGAAAAAAGAAUAUAAUUAAAAUGGAAUUGGCAAUAUAAUUUUUAUAGACUUUUGAAAGAAAAAAAGGGGGUUUUUUGCAACCGUUAUUUCUUAUUUCUUGCCUAUAUCAUAUCACGGAAACCUUUCGCUUUGGAACGUGGAGAGAUGGCUGAGUGGACUAAAGCGGCGGAUUGCUAAUUCGUUGUACAAUUUUUUUGUACCGAGGGUUCGAAUCCCUCUCUUUCCGCUCCCUUGGAUCAUUUGGGACUUUCGAAUUGGAAAGAAUUCUGACCCCCGGAUUUUCUCAUAGAUAAAUGUACGAAACAAAUCCAAUAAGAAAAAAAAACUGAAUUUUUACUCCUCGCGUCCAGGAUUCCGUCCUGGGUCAUUAGAUAAGAAUCCAAAGAUAAAGAGUGAAACAAAGAAUAUCACUACU